UUAUUCUGAUUGACUAGCUUUCCUCCAGCCCCUCCUGCCCCGGAGAAAACGGGCUUCUUGUCAGGCUCAGAAGGUGAAGACGAUACUAUUUGCAGAGGGUUUUAGAAAUGGUUUGGUACUUACAGAAGGAAGGUGUUUGGGGUCUGCAUUUGCACUUUAUGCUGCAAUAUGGCCUAGUUGAUUCUAUACUAUGUAUUUCAGUCCAGCUCCCUAGCAUGGCGAAACAGGCAUCCGUAAUGCGGCUGUAUUGAGACGAGUUCUGAAGCAAAAAAGGUCGUAAGGCGACUUUGAAGAUCUUCUUAGUUACAUUCCUGAUAAUGUCCAAAUGGUUGAAGGUUCUCCAGUUUUGAGUUAACUGCUGAAAGAGAUACAGUGGAAACUGAUGGAGAGGAGUGGCCUAAGCUUCACAAUACACUGAUUAAACGGGGGAAUGUUCUGAAGAACUCUUCUGCCUGUGUGAAGCAAGUGCUACACGCUCUGGAUUGGGGCAAAAAAGGAACACAGACAACAUUUUAAGUUGGUGGUGAACAUCUUGAAGUUCAACAGUUGUAUGUGAAAGAUGUGAAGUUGCAGCCUUGCCCAGAAGACAUUCAACUUAUAGUGGAAGAACCUGAAUGAAAAUUCUGUGACACCUGGAUAUUAAAUAUAAUUUUUGGUUACAAUAGAUGUAGAUUCUUCAGAUGUUUGAGUCAAAAUGAAAAUGCUGAGCAUGUACACCAUCCUCAUACCUAACAGUUAUUCAACAGGAAACAGGUUUUCUAGUGUGGUCCUUCAUGGUUUUUAUGCACAAAUUAAAGAAAUAGGAAGAUGGGUCCUCUGCAAGAGUUAGGUUGGUGCAAAAGGCACUCUUUCCUGUCGUUUAUUCAAAUAGAUGGGAAAAAUAGUUUAGGCAGUAGCAAGUUUUCAGUUAAGAUGCCAUUUCUGGAUAAGGAGUAGUAUGACCACAACUGGCAUUGAGAAGUAAUUGUCCAAGUAAUCUUGACUUGGAUGUCUUUGGUGAUUGUGCUUAUAUUUCUAUUCUUUUUUUUAAUGGGCUACCUACCCUAGAGUCUCAUGAAAAGGCCAAGCGAUAGGAGGUGGGGAAGUUGUAAUAACACCCCCCUUUUAUGCCAAGGCUGGAAGGACAAACACCCAUCAUUGGUGGUCUGAAGAUCUCCUUUGUUUGACAAUCUUGUUUGGACAUAGGGUUGCUUAUAAAUGUGUCUUGUUCCUAUAUUGUAAACUGCCCUGUAUUCCUUGGAUGAA